CCUACGGGGGGCUGCAGUGGGGAAUUUUGCGCAAUGCUCGUAAGAGUGACGCAGCGACGCCGCGUGAAUGACGAAGGCCUUCGGGUCGUAAAGUUCUUUCGACAGGGAAGAAAAUGCCUAUAAGUAACUGUGUAUGUAUUGACGGUACCUGCAUAAGCAGCCCCGGCUAACUCCGUGCCAGCAGCCGCGGUAAUACGGAGGGGGCGAGCGUUGUUCGGAGGGACUGGGCGUAAAGAGCACGUAGGCGGUGUUGUAAGUCAUUAGUCAAAGACUAGAGCUCAACGUUAGUAAGGCUAGUGAUACUAUAAUACUAGAGUAUCAGAGAGGAUUGCAGAAUUCCUGGUGUAGGAGUGAAAUGCGUAGAUAUCAGGAGGAAUACCGUUAGCGAAGGCGGCAAUCUGGCUGGAAACUGACGCUGAGGUGCGAAAGCGUGGGUAGCAAACAGGAUUAGAUACCCGAGUAGUC
rnacentral:rRNA from 1 species